rnacentral:tRNA from 1 species
GGGGGCGUAGCUCAGAUCGUAAAGCGCUCGCUGUGCAUGCGAGAGGUACGGGGAUCGAUACCCCACGCCACCA